rnacentral:lncRNA from 1 species
CUUGAGAACAAAAGAAUCAAACAAAAGUCAGCUUUGGCAUCUGUUGGUAUUUUGGCUAUAUCUUGGGCUACAUACAUUGGAUUCAGAUGAUAUUUAUAUCAUUUUAAAGCUAAGAGACAGAUCUACAUUUGGUAUGAAGACAUCAAAAGUCCAAUUCGGCUGUUUUCCUGGUCAAAAUGUCAAAAUACAGAAGUAAAAGUCUGCUGCUGAGAGCUGAAAACGCGGAAUUGACCAGUCAGUUGUAUUUUUAUCAUAUCUCGGUCUAGACAGCUCUAAAUUGGAUGAUUCUUGAGGCAUUGGACAGCUAUUUCAAUGGGCUACAACUUCUAUGUUUUUCACAAGAGCUAAUUUAGCCGUCAUCAUAGAGAAAAUAGCAAUUGAAGUAGCCAGAUUCUGGUCAGAAAUAGCUGCUGGUACAACCUGUUUUCUCCUUCAACAAUUUACAGCUAUGGAUGAACGUAUGACAACCAAUUAGCAGCUGUAAAAGGGAUGUUUCAAGCCUCAUUUCCUGAUUGCAUUCAUCUAUA